AUUGAACGCUGGCGGCAGGCCUAACACAUGCAAGUCGAGCGGAUGAAGGGAGCUUGCUCCUGGAUUCAGCGGCGGACGGGUGAGUAAUGCCUAGGAAUCUGCCUGGUAGUGGGGGAUAACGUCCGGAAACGGGCGCUAAUACCGCAUACGUCCUGAGGGAGAAAGUGGGGGAUCUUCGGACCUCACGCUAUCAGAUGAGCCUAGGUCGGAUUAGCUGGUUGGUGGGGUAAAGGCCUACCAAGGCGACGAUCCGUAACUGGUCUGAGAGGAUGAUCAGUCACACUGGAACUGAGACACGGUCCAGACUCCUACGGGAGGCAGCAGUGGGGGAUAUUGGACAAUGGGCGAAAGCCUGAUCCAGCCAUGCCGCGUGUGUGAAGAAGGUCUUCGGAUUGUAAAGCACUUUAAGUUGGGAGGAAGGGCAGUAAGUUAAUACCUUGCUGUUUUGACGUUACCAACAGAAUAAGCACCGGCUAACUUCGUG
rnacentral:rRNA from 1 species